UUUGAUUGUGAAAAUUUGUGUGGGACUGGCUGUUUUUCCUCCAUGCUGGAGUCGACACAUGGGUGCGGCACCAGACCACAGCCCAGUGCGGUGGGACAAAGAAGCUGCCUUUGUUGCCACACAGUCCUUCUGAAAGACGUUAGUCCGCAGGAUGAAGAUGUCGAGAUGUCCCUUCUCAUGGACAGAAGUUUCAUUUUACCCAGAUGGGAGACACCGGCCGACACCCACAACAGCGCUAUGUCCAUGGAGAGAAGAAAAAAAUUAGGGACCCUGUAAACUGAAGAGGCCACAUAGGGAAGGAAACACCUCCUGUCUACAUCACCAUUUGGACUGAGACCCAGCAGUGGGCUAAAGCGUUUUACCCAAAAUCCAAGAAAUCAGUCCUGUUCAUCACAAUUAAGUUGUCUUCACCGAUGUGCUGCAAUAUAACCAACCCUCCCCUCCUGGGAACGACUUGAAAUAUUAUAUUCUGUUUCAAGAUCAGGCGCAAACCACAAUGGCCUUUGAGGGGGCGGGUCCAUCCACUGCUUCUCGGCGUCCCAUUGGGCGUGAGGCUGAGGUCAGAUAAGUGUGAAUUUUGACGGGACCCAUCAGCUGCGCUUAAUGACUCACAUGUGAGCAGCAGAUCAGUCACGUUCAGCCGAGUGUCAGCCAGAGAGCUUUCCAUUCCGAGGGAACUGCAUUUCUCUGGUCUGCAGCAAGCAAUGCUGCAAACAGUUUUCUUCAUGCGCGCUGAGCUCAGUUAUUCUGCCUUUAGGACCGGAAAAGCGUCCUUGCCCAAUGUCACGUCAAACCAACAAAUAAACAAGCACCGGCAACAGCA
rnacentral:lncRNA from 1 species